UGACGGUAGCAGGUAAAGAAACCCCCGGCUAACUCCGUGCCAGCAGCCGCGGUAAUACGGAGGGGGUUAGCGUUGUUCGGAAUUACUGGGGCGUAAAGCGCACGUAGGCGGAUCCGGAAAGUUGGGGGUGAAAUCCCCGGGGCUCAACCCCGGAACUGCCUCCAAAACUAUCGGUCUAGAGUUCGAGAGAGGUGAGUGGAAUUCCGAGUGUAGAGGUGAAAUUCGUAGAUAUUCGGAGGAACACCAGUGGCGAAGGCGGCUCACUGGCUCGAUACUGACGCUUCGAGGUGCGAAAGUGUGGGGACGCAAACAGGAUUAGACUACCCUGGUAG
rnacentral:rRNA from 1 species